rnacentral:rRNA from 1 species
UACGAAGGGUGCAAGCGUUACUCGGAAUUACUGGGCGUAAAGCGUGCGUAGGUGGUUCGUUAAGUCUGAUGUGAAAGCCCUGGGCUCAACCUGGGAAUGGCAUUGGAUACUGGCGACCUAGAGUGCGGUAGAGGGGUGUGGAAUUCCCGGUGUAGCAGUGAAAUGCGUAGAUAUCGGGAGGAACAUCUGUGGCGAAGGCGACACCCUGAACCAGCACUGACACUGAGGCACGAAAGCGUGGGGAGCAAACAGG